rnacentral:rRNA from 1 species
ACGAACGCUGGCGGCAGGCUUAACACAUGCAAGUCGAACGAAGUCUUCGGACUUAGUGGCGCACGGGUGAGUAACACGUGGGAAUAUACCUCUCAGUGGGGGAUGACGUCGGGAAACUGACGCUAAUACCGCAUACGCCCUUCGGGGGAAAGAUUUAUCGCUGAGAGAUUAGCCCGCGUCCGAUUAGCUAGUUGGUGAGGUAACGGCUCACCAAGGCUACGAUCGGUAGCUGGUCUGAGAGGAUGAUCAGCUACACUGGGACUGAGACACGGCCCAGACUCCUACGGGAGGCAGCAGUGGGGAAUAUUGGACAAUGGGGGCAACCCUGCUCCAGCCAUGCCGCGUGAGUGAUGAAGGCCUUAGGGUUGUAAAGCUCUUUCGACGGGGACGAUGAUGACGGUACCCGUAGAAGAAGCCCCGGCUCACUUCGU